GACAGAGACAACGUGAGCAACGUGUCUGAAAGUUAGAUCAGGGCCUGCUGCAGCCACGCCUCGGUGCUUUAAUGAACCCAUUUGGCAGCGCACGUUGAAACUGGCAAAGGACCGUGUUCUGGUCACUGCUGCUGGUCGUCUGUGGUGCUCUCUGAGCUGUUGUACUGUUUUUAUGUCUCGGGAGCCUCUGGCGCUGUGCGACCGGAAAGUAUCCCCGAGGAUCUCGGCCGAGGACUUCAUCAACCUCUGUGAGCUGUCAUUGGCCGGGCCCACCAAAAGGACCGAAGCCGGCAGGCGAAAAAUCAUUGCUGUCGACAUCCGCAGUAGAGGAGUAUCCUUACCAAUUCUCUGAAAUUAAGAAAUUUACCUACCAGUCCCGUAAAAGUCCCUAUAAUGGUGGCAUUUUAACAUCCAAAUACAUUGCACAAUCUUUCUCUGCUGAGGCACAUCAGGAAGCCAUGCACAGAGACUUGAUUGUGUCCAACAAAGCAAAUACAACACAUGUAAGAUAAGGUUGUUUUGAGCAGAAUUUACCUUAGCAAACCUGCUCCAACUUAAACCUUUCUGUUACUUAAGCUCUAUAAAUCUUGCAUUUUACACUUUAACUUACUUUAACUUUAACUGAGAUGCAAGUAAGGAAAAAGAUUCUGAUGAUCCAUGAUCUAAACUCUUUUCCUUCCUGUGUUAAUAACUUCAGAACAGGUGAAAAAAAUGUUUGGUUUGGUGGACUUUGGUGCACUGGAAGGCUAAGUGAAAAGCUGUCUGUCAGGAUGGAGGACGGAGAAGGAGAUGCAACAUUCAUAGUGUUGCACUCUUUGUACACAUUACAAGUGACAGAAAAAAGUGGUGUAAGGAAUGAAAAAAGAGAGCUAGAGAGAAAAUACAGUAAAUAGUGUGAGUACGCUUGUAAAUAUACAGUAAACUGUGGGAGCUAGUAGAAGAAUUAUUGGACAAUACAUUUACUUCUUUACAAACACCUUUAAAAGAACCAUAACAAAAGUGUUUUUGUCUUGUUCAAGCUAGUAGGUUGGAAGAUAAAACAAUAAAAACACAGAUUUUGAAAUACAAUUAUUGAUGUCAUCAAGUAUGAAAUAGAUGGAGUCAGUGGAUUAAGAUAAGACUACACACUACAACUCAGUGUCCACCUGUUAUACAGUUUCUUUUAAGGUCAGAAGUAUAGGAAUAUAGUGGCCCAGAAAACCUUGCCUGUACAAUAUGCAAAGGACCAGAAGGAGUAAUUCUCACCCUACAGAUCAGUGGAAUGGUAAUUGUGUGAAGGGGGUUAAAGAGCCAUUUAUCAGUAAGGAUUAGUUGUUAGAGCAAGGAUUUUGGAGAAUGGAGCCUCCUGCUAGUUGAAGGCUCCUCAGGCUAACCCACAUGAACAAAAGGGAUUUGACCACUUUCACAGGAUUUAAUAACCCUUUGUCACCUUUAUUGUGAUCUUGGCCAAAGCUAUGUUGUGGGUGUCUGCGGUCACAAAAAGUGGAUUAUAUUAAGACCUCUGUGGGGUUAAUCAGGACAAUCUAGAUUUAGAUGUCUAGGUACCUGGUGGUUUUUCUCUGCUGUAAAACAACUGGCAUGUACUUGUAAUUCCAAGGUUUAAUGUACCACAAUGGAAUUUGUCAGCUCGUGGAUUUUACACUGCAUUAUGUAACAUACUGACUCUAUUUUAACGAUCUAAGCGCACUGCGUGAAGCUCAUGGCACAAGUAAGUUUUGGGUGUGUCCAAAUCCACUUUUCCUCAUUUAAUGGCGGAAAAAAAGGGUCUG